CCCUACGGGACGCAGCAGUGGGGAAUAUUGCACAAUGGGGGAAACCCUGAUGCAGCGACGCCGCGUGGGUGAAGAAGUAUUUCGGUAUGUAAAGCCCUAUCAGCAGGGAAGAAGGAUGACGGUACCUGACUAAGAAGCACCGGCUAAAUACGUGCCAGCAGCCGCGGUAAUACGUAGGGGGCAAGCGUUAUCCGGAUUUACUGGGUGUAAAGGGAGCGUAGACGGUGUGGCAAGUCUGAAGUGAAAGCCCGGGGCUCAACCCCGGGACUGCUUUGGAAACUGUCAUGCUGGAGUGCUGGAGAGGU
rnacentral:rRNA from 1 species